rnacentral:rRNA from 1 species
GACGAACGCUGGCGGCGCGCCUAACACAUGCAAGUCGAGCGAGAACCAGGGCUUCGGCCCUGGGGACAGCGGCGAACGGGUGAGUAACACGUGGGUAACCUGCCCUCGGCACCGGGAUAGCCCGGGGAAACCCGGAUUAAUACCGGACAGCCUCAUGAGCUCUCGGGCUCGUGAGAAAAGGUGGCUUCGGCUUCCGGCUGAGGAUGGGCCCGCGGCCGAUUAGCUUGUUGGUGAGGUAACGGCUCACCAAGGCGAUGAUCGGUAGCUGGUCUGAGAGGACGAUCAGCCACACUGGGACUGAGACACGGCCCAGACUCCUACGGGAGGCAGCAGUGGGGAAUCUUGCGCAAUGGGCGAAAGCCUGAUCCAGCCAUGCCGCGUGAGUGAAGAAGGCCUUAGGGUUGUAAAGCUCUCUUGGCGGGGAAGAUAAUGACGGUACCCGCAGAAUAAGCUCCGGCUAACUUCGUGCCAGCAGCCGCGGUAAC